AUGGCCGCUAUCCAACCCUUGAGCCCUUUCUAUAGAAGUUCCAAAUUCGUGGGUUCAACUAUCGUCCCUGCCCGAAUCCUGCCAAGACCCCGGAGAGUCACUCGUAGUACCAUGGCGUCGCCUAGCGGCAGCAGCCGCUCCUCCAAAAUCCCGGAGUUCCUGGCGGGUUCCGGCGGCCGGCCGGUGCCGGCCCUGGGGAUCGGCACGGCGUCGUUCCCGUUCGUGGCAGAGGACGUCAAGAACGCCGUGCUCGCCGCAUUGGAGAUCGGCUACCGCCACCUCGAUACAGCCUCAGUUUACCCCUCCGAGCACCUCGUCGGCGAGGCAGUGGCAGAGGCGGCGCGGCGCGGGGUCAUAGCGUCCCGCGAGGAGGUGUUCGUGACGACCAAGGUGUGGUGCACGCAGUGCCACCCGGAUCUCGUGCUCCCUUCCCUCAAGGAAAGCUUGCAGUUAAGCCGCCUUUGGGUUCAUUCCUUGGACUUUACUUUCCAGUUUUAUUAA
rnacentral:rRNA from 1 species